rnacentral:rRNA from 1 species
UGCAGUCGAGCGGAACGAGUUAUCUGAACCUUCGGGGGACGAUAACGGCGUCGAGCGGCGGACGGGUGAGUAAUGCCUAGGAAAUUGCCCUGAUGUGGGGGAUAACCAUUGGAAACGAUGGCUAAUACCGCAUGAUGCCUACGGGCCAAAGAGGGGGACCUUCGGGCCUCUCGCGUCAGGAUAUGCCUAGGUGGGAUUAGCUAGUUGGUGAGGUAAGGGCUCACCAAGGCGACGAUCCCUAGCUGGUCUGAGAGGAUGAUCAGCCACACUGGAACUGAGACACGGUCCAGACUCCUACGGGAGGCAGCAGUGGGGAAUAUUGCACAAUGGGCGCAAGCCUGAUGCAGCCAUGCCGCGUGUGUGAAGAAGGCCUUCGGGUUGUAAAGCACUUUCAGUCGUGAGGAAGGUGGUGUAGUUAAUAGCUGUAUCAUUUGACGUUAGCGACAGAAGAAGCACCGGCUAACUCCGUGCCAGCAGCCGCGGUAAUACGGAGGGUGCGAGCGUUAAUCGGAAUUACUGGGCGUAAAGCGCAUGCAGGUGGUUUGUUAAGUCAGAUGUGAAAGCCCGGGGCUCAACCUCGGAAUAGCAUUUGAAACUGGCAGACUAGAGUACUGUAGA